rnacentral:rRNA from 1 species
GUGGGGAAUAUUGCGCAAUGGGGGAAACCCUGACGCAGCGACGCCGUGUGAGGGAAGAAGGCUUUCGGGUCGUAAACCUCUGUCAGAAAGGAAGAACCUCCCAAGUCCGAAUAGGGCUUGGGACUGACGGUACUUUCAAAGGAAGCACCGGCUAACUCCGUGCCAGCAGCCGCGGUAAUACGGAGGGUGCAAGCGUUAAUCGGAAUCACUGGGCGUAAAGCGCGCGUAGGCCGCUUUGUAAGUCGGACGUGAAAGCCCUCGGCUCAACCGGGGAACUGCGGUCGAUACUGCGAGGCUUGAGUCCUGGAGAGGGUGGCGGAAUUCCGGGUGUAGGAGUGAAAUCCGUAGAUAUCCGGAGGAACACCGGUGGCGAAGGCGGCCACCUGGACAGGUACUGACGCUGAGGCGCGAAAGCGUGGGGAGCAAACAGGAUUAGAAACCCGUGUAGUCC